rnacentral:hammerhead_ribozyme from 1 species
AUCCAGCUGACAGGUCCUGAAUAGGACGAACGCGCGUUCUGGAU